rnacentral:tmRNA from 1 species
GGGGGCGAUCUGGUUUCGACAGGGGUUGUGAAGUGGCUAGGGCAUGUCGAGGGUCCAUAACCUCGUUAAUCAGUGGAAAAAAGUAACCGCAAACGACGAUACGUUCGCACUGGCUGCCUAAUGUCAGCCGUUCUCUAUUUAGUUCACUGAUAGACUAAUGUCGAAAGACCGGUAGUUAAAAUACCGAAUGAGAUUAUAUAAUGUCAGUUAAGCCUUAUGGCGGUGUCGCGACGUCUAUGGUCGAAAAUAUAAGUGCGAAUCACUGCAGCUCAGCGUGUUUGUCCGCGUAGCUGCAGUUAGAUUAAAUGACGAAACUAAACAUGUAGAGCUAGUUAUAGAUCGCUUCUGGACGCGGGUUCGAUUCCCGCCGCCUCCACUU